AGAGUUUGAUCCUGGCUCAGAACGUACGCUGGCGGCACGCCUAACACAUGCAAGUCGAACGCAGUAGCAAUACUGAGUGGCAAACGGGUGAGUAUAAUGUGGGAAUCUGCCUUUUGGUCUGGAAUAACACGAGGAAACUUGUGCUAAUACCGGAUAAGCCUUUACAGGGAAAGUUUUAAUGCCAAAAGAUGAGCCCGCACUUGAUUAGCUAGUUGGUAAGGUAAAAGCUUACCAAGGCAACGAUCAAUAGCUGUUCUUAGAGGAAGACCAGCCACAUUGGGACUGAGACACGGCCCAAACUCCUACGGGAGGCAGCAGUGGGGAAUCUUGCACAAUGGGGGAAACCCUGAUGCAGCGAUGCCGCGUGAGUGAAGAAGGCCUUUGGGUUGUAAAACUCUUUCGUCGGGGAAGAAAAUGACUGUACCCGAAUAAGAAGGUCCGGCUAACUUCGUGCCAGCAGCCGCGGUAAUACGAAGGGACCUAGCGUAGUUCGGAAUUACUGGGCUUAAAGAGUUCGUAGGUGGUUAAAAAAGUUGAUGGUGAAAUCCCAAGGCUCAACCUUGGAACUGCCAUCAAAACUUUUUAGCUAGAGUAUGAUAGAGGAAAGUGGAAUUUCUAGUGUAGAGGUGAAAUUCGUAGAUAUUAGAAAGAACAUCAAAAGCGAAGGCAACUUUCUGGAUCAUUACUGACACUGAGGAACGAAAGCAUGGGUAGCGAAGAGGAUUAGAUACCCUCGUAGUCCAUGCCGUAAACGAUGUGUGCUAGACGUUGGAAACUUAGUUU
rnacentral:rRNA from 1 species